rnacentral:rRNA from 1 species
UACGAAGGGGGCGAGCGUUGCUCGGAAUCACUGGGCGUAAAGGGUGCGUAGGCGGGUCCUUAAGUCAGGGGUGAAAUCCUGGAGCUCAACUCCAGAACUGCCUUUGAUACUGAAGAUCUUGAGUUCGGGAGAGGUGAGUGGAACUGCGAGUGUAGAGGUGAAAUUCGUAGAUAUUCGCAAGAACACCAGUGGCGAAGGCGGCUCACUGGCCCGAUACUGACGCUGAGGCACGAAAGCGUGGGGAGCAAACAGG